rnacentral:ncRNA from 1 species
AAGCGUUGAAGCAUAAUAGCGUACCGGGAUGCCUUGUUAUGCAGAGCUUUCAGUAGGGGGUUGUGCAGUAACCUCAAACCGGAGUAGGCUGCAAAGCCGAAAGAAAAAUGCUCAAA